rnacentral:rRNA from 1 species
UGUCCAGACUCCUACGGGAGGCAGCAGUGAGGAAUAUUGGUCAAUGGACGCAAGUCUGAACCAGCCAAGUAGCGUGCAGGAUGACGGCCCUCCGGGUUGUAAACUGCUUUUAGUUGGGAAUAAAAGGGGGCUCGUGAGCCCCGUAUUGUAUGUACCAUCAGAAAAAGGACCGGCUAAUUCCGUGCCAGCAGCCGCGGUAAUACGGAAGGUCCGGGCGUUAUCCGGAUUUAUUGGGUUUAAAGGGUGCGCAGGCGGAGGUGCAAGUCAGCGGUCAAAUUGCGGGGCUCAACCCCGUACUGCCGUUGAAACUGCAUCCCUUGAGUGCGCGAGAAGUAUGCGGAAUGCGUGGUGUAGCGGUGAAAUGCAUAGAUAUCACGCAGAACUCCGAUUGCGAAGGCAGCAUACCGGCGCGCAACUGACGCUCAUGCACGAAAGCGUGGGUAUCGAACAGGAUUAGAUACCCCCGUACAC